rnacentral:rRNA from 1 species
CACGUAGGGUGCGAGCGUUGUCCGGAAUUAUUGGGCGUAAAGAGCUCGUAGGUGGUUUGUCGCGUUGUUCGUGAAAACUCACAGCUUAACUGUGGGCGUGCGGGCGAUACGGGCAGACUGGAGUACUGCAGGGGAGACCGGAAUUCCUGGUGUAGCGGUGGAAUGCGCAGAUAUCAGGAGGAACACCGGUGGCGAAGGCGGGUCUCUGGGCAGUAACUGACGCUGAGGAGCGAAAGCGUGGGGAGCGAACAGG